rnacentral:rRNA from 1 species
CAAUAGCGUAUAUUAAAGUUGUUGCAGUUAAAAAGCUCGUAGUUGGAUUUGUGGCGUACGGUGUGUUCCGGGCACUUGUUGUCUGAGUAACCUGCUGUUGCCAUCCUUGGGUGGAACCUGUGUGGCAUUAGGUUGUCGUGCAGGGGAUGCCCAUCAUUUACUGUGAAAAAAUUAGAGUGUUCAAAGCAGGCUUAUGCCGUUGAAUAUAUUAGCAUGGAAUAAUGAGAUAGGACUUUUUUGCUAUUUUGUUGGUUUGCGCAAAGAGGUAAUGAUUAAUAGGGACAGUUGGGGGUAUUCGUAUUCCAUUGUCAGAGGUGAAAUUCUUGGAUUUUUGGAAGACGAACUACUGCGAAAGCAUUUACCAAGGAUGUUUUCAUUGA